CAACUGGAGGCAGCAGUAGUGAUGGUGUUUGUUUGAACAAUGACUGAGAGGCAGAAAGAAAGAGCAGUGUGCACAGUGUUUACUUUUCAGUACAUGGCCAUUUGGCUUGGGAAGUGGAGGAUCGCCAGUUCAACUCCCCGUAGGCUACGGACUAAGAAGAGUGUCAACCCCAAGCCUUCAGGAUUAAAUUAAAUAGUGCGUAGUUUCUGCUGAAUUCUAAGUAAUGACAACAACACUGUUUGUUAUGGGUUGCUCUCUCUCCACACUGAGUUGGGUGGUUUUGUUUUCCCUGUUUGUCUGUGUUCCGUGUUUUUCCACCUGGAGUGCUGGAGGAGUGUCCAGAGGGAAGUAGGUCAAGGGGCGUGGCCGAUCCAACACUGCAUUGCCGGUUUUCACAGCUGCAGCUCAUCUUCAUGAUUCACCCCUGCAAUACUUAAACCCGGGCUGAUCACCUUGUUGGCGCCAGUUCGUUAUGUACAACUCAUGUGUUACCGCUCUGCCCAGCUGCCUCCUCUGCUUUGCCUGCCUGCUUCAAGCCUCACCAUCCAGCCUCUGUCUCCAACUUGGGAAACCCUCCAUGUUCUCGUCUCUGCCUGUUCCCCUCGUGUCCCAUAAAGACCUGGAUUCUUCCCUGUCGGCUCGCCACAAGCCUCAGACCAGCCUGGAG